UACGUAGGGUGCAAGCGUUAAUCGGAAUUACUGGGCGUAAAGCGUGCGCAGGCGGUUCGGAAAGUCAGAUGUGAAAUCCCAGAGCUUAACUUUGGAACUGCAUUUUUAACUACCGGGCUAGAGUGUGUCAGAGGGAGGUGGAAUUCCGCGUGUAGCAGUGAAAUGCGUAGAUAUGCGGAGGAACACCGAUGGCGAAGGCAGCCUCCUGGGAUAACACUGACGCUCAUGCACGAAAGCGUGGGGAGCAAACAGG
rnacentral:rRNA from 1 species